GCCGCCGCUCGAUGCGGCGAAGGAUCGCGUCAUGAUGUGCGGCAGCCCGGCGCUGCUGGUCGAUACCAAGAAGCUGCUGGAAGAGCGCGGUUUUGUCGAAGGCAACCAUGGCGAGCCGGCGGACUUCGUGGUCGAGAAGGCGUUCGCCGAGCGCUGAUCACACGGACCGCUUCAAAUCAAAAAGCCGCUGGCUAUGCCGGCGGCUUUUUUGUUUAGGAAGACUCGUUAUUGCGAGGAGCUCUCGCGACGAAGCAAUCCAUUUUUCUCAAAAAUGGAUUGCUUCGCUUCGCUCGCAAUGA
rnacentral:misc_RNA from 1 species